CAGACAUUUGGAAAAGCACAUU
rnacentral:miRNA from 14 species